rnacentral:rRNA from 1 species
UCAAAAACAUGUCUGUAUGAAGAAAUAUACAGUCUGGCCUGCCCACUGAGUAAUUUAAAGGGCCGCGGUAUCUGAACCGUGCUAAGGUAGCAUAAUAAAUAGUCUUUUAAUUGAGGUCUAGUAUGAAUGGUCGGACAGGAAGUGUGCUGUUUCAAUUGUAAAAUUUGAAUUUUACUUUUAAGUGAAAAGGCUUAAAUUUUAUAGUGGGACGAUAAGACCCUAUAAAGCUUUACAUUUUAAUUUUUAGUUGAUGAAAUUAAGGUUUUCUGUUCUUGUAAAUUGAAGUGUUUCGUUGGGGCGACGUAAAUAUAAAUAGUAACUGUUUUUGUUUAAAAAUAAAUUUAUUUAGGAGAUUUGAUCCUUUUUUAAGAUUAUAAGAGUGGAGUUACUUUAGGGAUAACAGCGUAAUUUUUCUUGAGAGUUCAUAUCGACAGAAAUAGUUGCGACCUCGAUGUUGAAUUAAGGUAUUCUCAAGGUGUAGCAGCUUUGAAGUUAGGUCUGUUCGACCUUUAAAACCUUACG